rnacentral:lncRNA from 1 species
UUAUAAAAUUAAAUGAUAUUUAGAGAUUUUGGAUUUUUUCACCAACAAUCCCCCACAAAAUUCAAAAUCACAAAAGAAGAAUUAAACAAACAAAUAAAUAAAUCAUCGGGUGUUUAUACUAUGCAAUAGGCAAGGUGUCUUUAAGAGACUUAACCCUACUUAGUGUAAAUAGUUUCCAUCAGAAGGAAUCGGAGUGAACCAGGUCUUGAACUACGUUCCUUUGUCCCUGACUUCAACUAUCACACACACAGUACAGAAUUCUCCGUUGCGGAUCUGUGCGUUAAUGGCCAUGCACAGUACCUUAAUUUUUCAUAAGAGUUUCUAUGAAUCGCCCAUAUCACAUAGCCGCGGCCACAUACGGAUACCCUUAUAUUGGUGGUUUCCUCCAGGGAUGUGUGUAGAGUCAUAUCUCGCGAAAAUUAUCGCCUUGGAUCCCAUUAAGAGCUCUCAGUUCAACCUAAUCCACUACACAGAGCACUACUCACCAUAGGAAUGGAAUUAGAGCUAAAGCUUCUCUAUAAAAUUUGUAGAAAGUGCUCUUUGGCCAACCUGACAGCUUGUUUUUACCACAUUGAACCUUCUUCAAGGGAUCUCCUAUCACAAAGGUUGGGUUCCCACUGCAGGAAGGCCCUUUAAGGG